UACGAAGGGGGCUAGCGUUGCUCGGAAUCACUGGGCGUAAAGGGUGCGUAGGCGGCUCUUUAAGUCCGGGGUGAAAUCCUGGAGCUCAACUCCAGAACUGCCUUUGAUACUGAGGAUCUUGAGUCCGGGAGAGGUGAGUGGAACUGCGAGUGUAGAGGUGAAAUUCGUAGAUAUUCGCAAGAACACCAGUGGCGAAGGCGGCUCACUGGCCCGGUACUGACGCUGAGGCACGAAAGCGUGGGGAGCAAACAGG
rnacentral:rRNA from 1 species